rnacentral:ncRNA from 3 species
UUAAGCAUAUCAAUAAGCGGAGGAA